rnacentral:rRNA from 1 species
UGGGGGAUAUUGCACAAUGGGCGAAAGCCUGAUGCAGCGACGCCGCGUGGGGGAUGAAGGCCUUCGGGUUGUAAACUUCUUUUGCUCUGAACAAGGCAUGCCUUUGGGGUGUGUUGAGUGUAGGGGUUGAUUAGCGCCGGCUAACUACGUGCCAGCAGCCGCGGUAAUACGUAGGGCGCGAGCGUUGUCCGGAAUUAUUGGGCGUAAAGGGCUUGUAGGUGGCUGGUUGCGUCUGUCGUGAAAGCUCAUGGCUUAACUGUGGGUUUGCGGUGGGUACGGGCUGGCUUGAGUGCAGUAGGGGAGGCUGUAAUUCCUGGUGUAGCGGUGGAAUGCGCAGAUAUCAGGAGGAAUACCGGUGGCGAAGGCGGGUCUCUGGGCUGUUACUGACGCUGAGGAGCGAAAGCGUGGGGAGCGAACAGG